rfam:Thecamonas trahens ATCC 50062 unplaced genomic scaffold supercont1.80, whole genome shotgun sequence.
GCGGACUUAGUCUAGUGGCAGGAUGUCUCGUUGUGGCCGAGCCGGCCCGGGUUCGAUUCUCGGAGUCCGCA